UGGGGAAUAUUGGACAAUGGGGGAAACCCUGAUCCAGCGAUGCCGCGUGCGGGAAGAAGGCCUUCGGGUUGUAAACCGCUUUUGUCAGGGAAGAAACGAGUUUCUCUAAUACAGAGACUUAAUGACGGUACCUGAAGAAUAAGCACCGGCUAACUACGUGCCAGCAGCCGCGGUAAUACGUAGGGUGCAAGCGUUAAUCGGAAUUACUGGGCAUAAAGCGUGCGCAGGCGGUUAUGCAAGACAGAGGUGAAAUCCCCGGGCUCAACCUGGGAACUGCCUUUGUGACUGCAUAGCUAGAGUACGGUAGAGGGGGAUGGAAUUCCGCGUGUAGCAGUGAAAUGCGUAGAUAUGCGGAGGAACACCGAUGGCGAAGGCAGCCUCCUGGGCCAGUACUGACGCUCAUGCACGAAAGCGUGGGGAGCAAACA
rnacentral:rRNA from 1 species